GAGACUGGAAUUCCUGGUGUAGCGGUGAAAUGCGCAGAUAUCAGGAGGAACACCGAUGGCGAAGGCAGGUCUCUGGGCAUUAACUGACGCUGAGGAGCGAAAGCAUGGGGAGCGAACAGGAUUAGAUACCCUGGUAGUCCAUGCCGUAAACGUUGGGCACUAGGUGUGGGGGACAUUCCACGUUUUCCGCGCCGUAGCUAACGCAUUAAGUGCCCCGCCUGGGGAGUACGGCCGCAAGGCUAAAACUCAAAGGAAUUGACGGGGGCCCGCACAAGCGGCGGAGCAUGCGGAUUAAUUCGAUGCAACGCGAAGAACCUUACCAAGGCUUGACAUGGACUGGAAAUACCUGGAAACAGGUGCCCCGCUUGCGGUCGGUUCACAGGUGGUGCAUGGUUGUCGUCAGCUCGUGUCGUGAGAUGUUGGGUUAAGUCCCGCAACGAGCGCAACCCUCGUUCUAUGUUGCCAGCGCGUAAUGGCGGGGACUCAUAGGAGACUGCCGGGGUCAACUCGGAGGAAGGUGGGGACGACGUCAAAUCAUCAUGCCCCUUAUGUCUUGGGCUUCACGCAUGCUACAAUGGCCGGUACAAAGGGUUGCGAUACUGUGAGGUGGAGCUAAUCCCAAAAAGCCGGUCUCAGUUCGGAUUGGGGUCUGCAACUCGACCCCAUGAAGUCGGAGUCGCUAGUAAUCGCAGAUCAGCAACGCUGCGGUGAAUACGUUCCCGGGCCUUGUACACACCGCCCGUCAAGUCACGAAAGUUGGUAACACCCGAAGCCGGUG
rnacentral:rRNA from 1 species